GGUAUCCUGGGGUGUGCGACAACCUCGCAUUUUUGAACCUACAUCUCUUAAAACGGGAAUCCAAUAUCCAUGAGUCUAUGUCAGGCCUCGUUAGUUAUUUCUCAGUGGAAGGCAGAAGCUCAUAUGAGGGCACCCACCUGGCUUAUAUGCUAGGACUCAAAAAGCGGGGCGGCACUUUGGGUACAC
rnacentral:other from 1 species